AUGAUUUUAACAUUUCUUGAAAACUUCCUCUUCCCUCCUCCUGGCCAAAUCAAGGUCACAGGGCAAAGUAUGCAAACUGUUCUUUUCCCUUUUGUUAAAAAACUGGAACAACAUUUGUCCUUCAUUCUUGAAGUGACUCUCUUCUUCUUCUUCUUCUUCUUCUUCUUCUUCUUCUUCUUCUUCUUCUUCUUCUUCUUCUUCUUCUUCUUCUUCUUCUUCUUCUUCUUCUUCUUCUUCUUCUUCUUCUUCUUCUUCUUCUUCUUCUUUUCUUCUUCUUCUUCUUCUUCUUCUUCUUCUUUUUCUUCUUCUUCCUUCUUCCUCUUCUUCUUUUCUCUCUCUCUCUCUCUGUCUCUCCCUCUCUCCCUUUCUCCCUCUCUCUGUCUCUGUCUCUCUGUCUCUCUGUCUGUCUCUGUCUCUGUCUCUGUCUGUCUCUGUCUGUCUGUCUGUCUGUCUCUCUCUCUUUCUCUCUCCCUUCACAUCACCAUCUCUAGGCUUCCCUGGCUUCCUUCAAGUCCCAGCUAAAAUGCCCCCUUCUAUGGAAGCCUUUCCCAACCCCUCUUAAAUCGAGUGCCUUCCCUCUGUUGAUUAUUUUCUCCUUAUAGAAUAUACACUUGCUUAGGCUUCGACAUUUUCAUAUGGUCCCCCAUUAGACUGGACGCUCCUUCCAAAGGAGUCUAAGACACAGAAAAGGUUAAGAAUCCCUAAAAGUGAUGGAUUUGGAACUGCUGAAUGGCUUGGCUCAAAAAAUGCUCAUUAAUACUGGUCAGCAUUUAUAUAGCCCUCUAAGGUUUGCAGAGUGCUUUACGAAUAUCAUCUCAUUUGAUCCUCACUAUAACCCUGGAAUGAGAAGUUGGAGCUAGUAUUUACAGAUGAGGAAACUGAGGCAGACCAGAAGUUAAUUGAUUUGUUCCAGGCCACAUAGCUGCUAAGUUUUGGAGGGCAGAUUUUUAAUAUAGAUCUUCCAUGAAUCCAGGUCCACUGCUCUACCCACCACUCCACUUAACUGCCUCAUUAGAGCUUCAAUGGCAAAUUGGAAGGGAUGGGACUUAGAGCAUAGGUUGGACUGGUCUUUGAGAAAAGGAAGAUCACCUUUCUGUAUGAGAAAGAUUAGAUUCUGAGACAUGAAUGUGUUAAGUUAAAAAGGAAAUUUCAAGUUGGGGGGAGCAGCUGGGUGGCUCAGUGGAUUGAGAGCCAGGCCUACAGAUGGGAGGUCCUGGGUUCAAAUCUGACCUCAGAAACUUCCCAGCUGUGUGACCCUGGACAAGUCACUUGACCCCCAUUGCCUAGUCCUUACCACUCUUCCUCCUUGGAACCAAUACACAGUAUUGAUUCUAAGAUGGAAGGUAAGAGUUUAAAAAAAAACAAAGAAAGAAAUGUUAUUCUCUCUAUACAUCAUUCUGUUGCAGGGGAAAGAACCCCCAGAUUUAUAAGAAAUUUAUACCCUCAUGGGGGAGAUGAUAUGUAAAUAAUUAGGUAUAUGCAUACAGGAGUAGAUUAUCUAUGUGGUAUAUACAGAGUAGAUUCCCAUGUCUAAGAAGUCAGGACUUUUAGAAGAAAAAAGCAGAAGGUAUUUGGUUAGUGGCCGACACCAGCUGUCACUGUUGUUAUUGUUCAGUCAUUUUUCAGUUGAGUCAGAUUCUUUCUGACUCCUUUUGGAGAUUUCUUUCUUUUUUUUUUAAACCCUCACCUUCCAUCUUAGAUUCAAUACCGUGUAUUGGUUCCAAGGAGGAAGAGUGCUAAGGGCUAGGCAAUGGGGGUUAAGUGACUUGUCCAGGGUCAUAGUUGGGAAGUGUCUGAGGCCAGAUUUGAACCUAAGACCUCUUGUCUCUAGGCCUGGCUCUCAAUACAAUGAGCUACCCAGCUGCCUCCAAUUAUCUUCAUUUUAGAAUUGAGGAAACUGAGGCAAACAGAGAUGAGGUGACUUGUCCAAGGUCACACAGCCAGAAAAGUAUCCAAGAAUGAAUCUGAACUUGGAUCUUCAUGGGUCUAUGUCCAGUGCUUUGUUUAUUUUUCCCUCUGGCUGCCCUUAAGAGGCUUGGAGAAGAGAGGUCCUGGGUUCAGAUACUUCCUGGCUAUGUGACCCUGGGCAAGUCACUUAAACCCCCAUAGCCUAGCCCUUACCAAUCAUCUGCCUUAGAACUGAUACAGAGUAUUGAUUUUUUUUUUAAUGACCCUUCUGUUUUAGAACCAUUACAUAGUAUCGACUCUAAGACCAGAAGGUAAGAGUUUAAAAAAUAAAGAAAUAAAAGAGCAGCUUGAUGACA
ensembl:lncRNA